rnacentral:rRNA from 1 species
UACGUAGGGGGCAAGCGUUGUCCGGAUUUAUUGGGCGUAAAGAGCGUGUAGGCGGCCAUACAGGUCAGCUGUGAAAACUCGAGGCUCAACCUCGAGACGUCGGUUGAAACCGUAUGCUAGAGUCCGGAAGAGGAGAGUGGAAUUCCCGGUGUAGCGGUGAAAUGCGCAGAUAUCAGGAGGAACACCGGUGGCGAAGGCGGGUCUCUGGGCCAUAACUGACGCUGGAGGAGCGAAAGCGUGGGGAGCGAACAGG